GCAGGAGAAUUUUGCGUGACACAAUAUUUUUUGCGUAGAAGAAGUCUUAUCGCUAAGCUUAGCAGUAAAAAAUGAUUAUACAAGCCGGUAUCUAAAAUGCCUUUCAAUGCUAUUGGUCCAGUAUAUAAUAAAAAGUGGCUUUAAAUCGGUCGAGAUUAUCUAGAGAUCUAACUUCUCUAUUGAAUUCCCUAGAUAACAACUUUUUAAGAGACAAGUUUAUUAUUAAGGGAAGCUAUGGAGUCCCGUUUCAAAUUGAUGACCUUUUUCUCUUACUAAAGUCCCUAGGACCGUUUUUAUGACGUAAAGACAAACUACGUGCAUGUAGUCUAAGGGAAACUGAUUUACCAUAUUCAUUGGCAUAUUAUCAAGAACAUGUUAGCCUUGGAUGUUGUGGUUUUCAGGUUGAAUACGAUUUCGGAAGCUAUCAUUGGUUCGUGUUGCAGGAAUAAAAACCCGAACGAUAUUUCACAGCCAAUAUAAAAGCGCGGGCUGGCGCAUCGCAUAUGAUUGCUCUCAUAGAUAUUCGGAAACACAUAUUUUGAAACAUCAUCCCUUCCUUUAUCAAUUCUCCUUACUCGUAGACACAUUCUU